rnacentral:rRNA from 1 species
AGCUCCAAUAGCGUAUAUUAAAGUUGUUGCAGUUAAAAAGCUCGUAGUUGGAUUUGUGGCUGUCGCCUGCGGCUCGGCAUUCGUGCUGUUGCUUAUAGCGUCGCCAUCCUUGGGUGGAACCUGUGUGGCAUUAGGUUGUCGUGCAGGGGAUGCCCAUCGUUUACUGUGAAAAAAUUAGAGUGUUCAAAGCAGGCUUAUGCCGUUGAAUAUAUUAGCAUGGAAUAAUAAGAUAGGACCUUGGUACUAUUUUGUUGGUUUGCGCACCAAGGUAAUGAUUAAUAGGGACAGUUGGGGGUAUUCGUAUUCCAUUGUCAGAGGUGAAAUUCUUGGAUUUUUGGAAGACGAACUACUGCGAAAGCAUUUACCAAGGAUGUUUUCA